GAUGAACGCUGGCGGCGUGCCUAAUACAUGCAAGUCGAGCGAACAGACGAGGAGCUUGCUCCUCUGACGUUAGCGGCGGACGGGUGAGUAACACGUGGAUAACCUACCUAUAAGACUGGGAUAACUUCGGGAAACCGGAGCUAAUACCGGAUAAUAUAUUGAACCGCAUGGUUCAAUAGUGAAAGACGGUUUUGCUGUCACUUAUAGAUGGAUCCGCGCCGCAUUAGCUAGUUGGUAAGGUAACGGCUUACCAAGGAAACGAUGCGUAGCCGACCUGAGAGGUUGAUCGGCCACACUGGAACUGAGACACGGUCCAGACUCCUACGGGAGGCAGCAGUAGGGAAUCUUCCGCAAUGGGCGAAAGCUUGACGGAGCAACGCCGCGUGAGUGAUGAAGGUCUUCGGAUCGUAAAACUCUGUUAUUAGGGAAGAACAAAUGUGUAAGUAACUAUGCACGUCUUGACGGUACCUAAUCAGAAAGCCACGGCUAACUACGU
rnacentral:rRNA from 1 species